rnacentral:lncRNA from 1 species
GCCCAGUUCUGAUGGCCGAACACCUUACUGUUUGCACCAUGUCUCAUUGCCACCAUGGUUGCAGCCUCCAAGAUCUGUGCUUGACUAGUCUCCCCAAACUUCUAAAAAAUACUAUUUGUUAUGUGUGGUGGAAAUCAUAUACCUUGUUUCAUAUUCCCUAUUUUACAGUAGUUUUCCUAAGGGUUCUUGUCUGUAUGUUAGAGUUGAGUUGUGUUGGGUUAAACCAUACCAAAUAGUUGUUUUUAUAGGUCAAAAGCCAUUGAAUAUCAUUGGCAAUUUUGUUCAGUUCAAAUCCAGGUUCUUUUUAGUAUAUUUAAGCUUUAAUAAACAAAAUCAAACAAGCAAAAAUUUUCCAGAAAAAAUAAGAUGUUAUUUGGACAAGAUAUAUCACUUUAUUACAUGUGCCCUCUGGCAGAUCUUACUUUUAUGCUAAAUCCAGAAAUUCUACUUCCAUGUAUUAUCUCUAUUAAUGACAUAAUAGCAACCAUAUCAUUGAAUGCCUACUUGUGCCACGCAUUUAUCUGUUUUUGUUUUUUUUUUUGUACAUUAACUACUCUCAACAGGGAUAAAACCACCUAAUUUUUAGGGUUCUGUUUUAUAGAUUGAUAAACUGAGAGGCAACUUACUCUUAUUUAGGGUGAGUUACCUUUUAAGGAAAGAACAGGAAAUCACAUCCAGAUCUGUCAGACUCCAGGCUGUUUUCUAUCUGCUACACUAAACUUUCUUGCAUUACAAGCAGGGCCUUAGCCAAAUAGAACAGAGACCAGGACAGAGUUUGUUCUGACCUAAAAUAACAGCUUAACUCUUUUACAGGGUGAUCAGCCCAAAAUUUGACUUUCAGUUUAAAAAAUACACAGGCCCACAGUACUGUACAUAUUUAUUUUUUAUGCUCUCCACUGAAAGGUUGGUGUUCCUGCUUUAAAACACUAACAUAUGGGGCAGCGUUGUUAGUCUUGGAAAUGUUUUAUAUUGUUAGUGGUAUAAGGAAGUAACUAAUUGCCAUUAAUUUCAGUCGUCUCUCAGAAGUAGACUUUUAUUGUCAUGCCUAUAAUUUCUUGUUUUUGAUAAGUAUUAACUAUGUUAUUCUCUUGACCAAAAGCACUUCUCAUUCAGUGUUUCACUUUGUUGACGUAUAGGAGAGACAGGCUGGAAACCGAGUGGAAAAGAGAAAAGUAAAGAGCCCAGAGACCCUGACCAGCUUUACAGCACGCUCAAGAGCAUCCUCCAGCAGGUGAAGAGCCAUCAAAGCGCUUGGCCCUUCAUGGAACCUGUGAAGAGAACAGAAGCUCCAGGAUAUUAUGAAGUUAUAAGGUUCCCCAUGGGUAAUACCAUUAACAUUUUCUAAGUAUAGAUUUAAAACUCUGGAUGGCGGUGUGGGGGACAAAUGGUUGCUGAGGUUGAUUUGUACUCCUCUGCUUAGGGUAGGAAGUGUAUGACGGGUGGUGGGAUUCCAUGCACCGUGGCGGGUCAGUGAUGGCAGAGAAGUGGGUGGCUGUGUUCAUUAGAGACAUUCUGCAGCUGUCGUUUAGAGCCCACAUGAGCUUAACGACACUAGACGCAGAAAAUCCACGGUAACUGCAGACAGCACUAGAUUUGAAAGCUGGCACUUUAGAUAUAACUUUGCUUAUAUUCUAACUCUUUGGUGCAAAUAGAAAAACAUCAGCUUAUCCUCUUGAUAUGCUUUGCGUCUGUCGUAAAUAGGUAUUCCUUUGAAUAAUUAUUCAGGAUAAUAAUGAAAGAAGUUAGAUUAAAGUACUUGACUGCUGUACUUUCAGAGGGAGAAAUUCUACUUACCACAAUUCUUGAUUUUCCAUGCCCUUGAUGGGUACUGUUAAUGUCACUGUAUAUACUCUUUAUUUUACGCUUUGUCUCAUAUCC